GGAUAACCUACCCUUAGGACCGGGAUAACCCUGGGAAACUGGGGAUAAUACUGGAUAGGCAAUUUUUCCUGUAAUGGUUUUUUGUUUAAAUGUUUUUUCGCCUAAGGAUGGGUCUGCGGCCGAUUAGGUAGUUGGUUAGGUAAUGGCUUACCAAGCCGUUGAUCGGUACGGGUUGUGAGAGCAAGAGCCCGGAGAUGGAACCUGAGACAAGGUUCCAGGCCCUACGGGGUGCAGCAGGCGCGAAACCUCCGCAAUGUGAGAAAUCGCGACGGGGGGAUCCCAAGUGCCAUUCUUAACGGGAUGGCUUUUCAUUAGUGUAAAGAGCUUUUGGAAUAAGGGCUGGGCAAGACCGGUGCCAGCCGCCGCGGUAACACCGACAGCUCUAGUGGUAGCAGUUUUUAUUGGGCCUAAAGCGUCCGUAGCCGGUUUAAUAAGUCUCUGGUGAAAUCCUGUAGCUUAACUGUGGGAAUUGCUGGAGAUACUAUUAGACUUGAGACCGGGAGAGGUUAGAGGUACUCCCAGGGUAGAGGUGAAAUUCUGUAAUCCUGGGAGGACCGCCUGUUGCGAAGGCGUCUAACUGGAACGGUUCUGACGGUGAGGGACGAAAGCUAGGGGCGCGAACCGGAUUAGAUACCCGGGUAGUCCUAACUGUAAACGAUGCGGACUUGGUGUUGGGGUGGCUUUGAGCUGC
rnacentral:rRNA from 1 species